AUGGCGCCGUCCUACGACAAGACCAUCGCCACGGCGGCCUCCCUCGCGGCGUCCCUGAUGCUGGUCCGCAGCCUCGCGAACGAGCUGCUGCCGUCCGAGGUGCGCGACGCGCUGUCCUCGGCCCUCGCCAGCCUCCGCUCGCGCAUGACGUGGCAGCACACCAUCGUCAUCAAGGAGACCGAGGGCUGGUGCCGAAAUUGUGUCUACGAUGCCGUCGAGGCCUACCUUGCCACGCGCAUCAACGCCAACCUCAACAUGCAGCGCCUGCGCGUCAGCAGCGCCGGCGCAUCUGAGAAGAUGGUCGUCGGCAUGGAGGCAGGCGAGGAGAUGCCGGAUGUGUAUCAAGGAGCGGAGUUCAAAUGGUGCAUGGUCACUCGCGAGGUCAAGGGCGACUCGGACAGCGUUGGCGACGGCGCCCAUGAGGUCAGGUCCUAUGAGGUAAGCUUCCACAAGAGGCACAAGGAGAAGGCGCUCAAGGAGUACCUGCCCUUCAUCGUCGCCGCCGCCAAGGCCAUUGAGGACCAGGAGCGGAGCCUCGACAUCUACAUGAACGAGCACGGCAACGAGUGGUCCUCCAUCGUUCUCCAGCACCCCUCCACCUUCCACACGCUCGCCAUGGACAUGAAGCAGAAGCGGGCCAUUGUUGAUGACCUCGACAGGUUCACCAAGAGGAAGGACUACUACAGGAGGAUCGGCAAGGCGUGGAAGCGCGGGUACCUCCUAUAUGGCCCUCCAGGUACCGGCAAGUCCAGCCUCAUCGCCGCCAUCGCCAACCACCUCAGGUUCGACAUUUACGACCUCGAGCUCACCGGGGUUGAUUCCAACUCCGACCUCAGGAGGCUUCUUGUCGGGAUGACCAACCGGUCCAUUCUCGUGGUCGAGGACAUCGACUGCACCAUCGAACUCAAGCAGCGGGAGGAAGACGACGAGGAGCACUCCAAGUCCAACUCUGCAGCAAAGAAGAAGGCAGAAGACAAGGUAACAUUGUCUGGGCUGCUCAAUUUUGUUGAUGGCUUGUGGUCGACGAGCGGGGAGGAAAGGAUCAUCAUCUUCACAACCAACUACAAGGAACGUCUCGACCCGGCACUCCUGCGGCCUGGCAGGAUGGACAUGCACAUACACAUGGGGUACUGCACCAUGGAGGCCUUCCGGAUCCUUGCCAACAACUACCAUUCCGUCGACUACCAUGCCACCUAUCCAGAUAUAGAGGAGCUGAUCGAGGAGGUGUCGGUGACGCCUGCAGAGGUCGCCGAGGUCCUCAUGAGGAACGACGACACUGACGUUGCCCUCCAUGAUCUUGUCGAGCUCCUAAAGUUGAAGAAGAAAGAUGCCACUGAUGACAUCAAGAUUGAGGGUACGCACGUGGAUGGGAAGAAAGAUAGUGAUGAGAUCAAGACUGGAAGUGUGCAGGUGGAGGAGAAGAAAGAUGACGAAGAGGUGGUGGUGAAGAAUGUUUUCAUAGAAAACAGAAGCGGUUAG
rnacentral:rRNA from 1 species